UACGUAGGGGGGCAAGCGUUGUCCGGAAUCAUUGGGCGUAAAGAGCGUGUAGGCCGCCCGAUAAGUCCGCUGUGAAAGUCCAGGGCUCAACCCUGGAAUGCCGGGUGGAUACUGUCGGGCUCGAAUCCGGAAGAGGUGAGUGGAAUUCCUGGUGUAGCGGUGAAAUGCGCAGAUAUCAGGAGGAACACCAAUGGCGAAGGCAGCUCACUGGGACGGUAUUGACGCUGAGACGCGAAAGCGUGGGGAGCAAACAGG
rnacentral:rRNA from 1 species